rnacentral:rRNA from 1 species
AUUGAACGCUGGCGGCGUGCUUAACACAUGCAAGUCGAGCGGUAACGCGGGGGCAACCCUGGCGACGAGCGGCGAACGGGUGCGUAAUGCAUGGGAAUCUGCCUGAUAGUGGGGAAUAACCCGGGGAAACUCGGGCUAAUGCCGCAUACGACCUACGGGUGAAAGCGGGGGACCGUAAGGCCUCGCGCUAUCGGAUGAGCCCAUGUCGGAUUAGCUAGUUGGUAGGGUAACGGCCUACCAAGGCUACGAUCCGUAGCUGGUCUGAGAGGACGGCCAGCCACACUGGGACUGAGACACGGCCCAGACUCCUACGGGAGGCAGCAGUGGGGAAUAUUGGACAAUGGGGGGAAACCCUGAUCCAGCGACGCCGCGUGUGUGAAGAAGGCCUGCGGGUUGUAAAGCACUUUCGGUGGGAACGAAAUAUGCCGGGCCAAUACCGGGCAGGCUGACGUUACCCAAUGAAGAAGCACCGGCUAACUCUGUGCCAGCAGCCGCGGUAAU